CCGGCGCACGGGUGAGUAACGCGUAUGCAACUUACCUAUCAGAGGGGGAUAACCCGGCGAAAGUCGGACUAAUACCGCAUGAAGCAGGGGCCCCGCAUGGGGAUAUUUGCUAAAGAUUCAUCGCUGAUAGAUAGGCAUGCGUUCCAUUAGGCAGUUGGCGGGGUAACGGCCCACCAAAGCGACGAUGGAUAGGGGUUCUGAGAGGAAGGUCCCCCACAUUGGAACUGAGACACGGUCCAA
rnacentral:rRNA from 1 species